CCGGUACCCUAACCCGUCAUUUGCGAACAAAUUGUUUUGCAUAACACAUAAAGCAUUGAUUGUAGCAGAAGAGGAAGGGGACGGCUAACUCUGUGC
rnacentral:rRNA from 1 species